UUCCUCACAAAAGCCGAGCCGAGUUUCCCCUGUUACAGCGAUGAAGACGUUUCCUUCCCCCACCCAGUCACUACAUGCCUAACCUGAAAGAACGCUUACCGAGUCCCAACUGGGGAGGAAGUUGAGGUAGGCGGAAGUCUGCCGCUUCCCGCCCACCUUUACCACAGCGCCACCAGCACCAGCAGGAGAGGCGAGAACAUCCGAAAGCCGCACAGCACCAGAUCGAGGAGAGAAUUUCACAAAGGGUUUUUCACAGGGAAAAUGCGCGUACUUGCCAUUUGGAUUGUGUGGGGAGCAUGCCUGAUAGAUCCCAAUCAUGGAGAUACCGUCACACAAUCGCUACCGUCAGCACAGAAGGUGGAAGGAGAGUCGGUGACUUUCAGCUGCACCUAUGACACCGCAGAAACGAGCUACGUCUUAUUUUGGUACCGGCAUCACCAGGACUCAAAGCCCGAGUUCAUACUGAAUAAAUAUUCAAGUGGAAGCGAGGAGAAAGCCGAUUUUGCAGGCGAUCGCUUCGCUGCCCAGCUCCAGACCGAUAGAAAAUUAGUCAGUUUAUCCCUAUCGGGCCUGGAGCUGAGCGACUCUGCUGUUUAUUACUGCGCCUUUAGCCGCACAGUGAUGGAAACCAGUGAAACCUUCAUACAAAAACAUCAGCUUCUGCUUUGCCUGCUGCAGUGAGAUACGCCUGCACCGCGCUUGCUGGUUGUGGUUUCCAGCCGCCUGAGAAUUCUUCUCAACUCACUCAGUUUCUCUCGAGGGCGGCUUGCGGUGUCAUCGGCGCAGCUGAAACCCACCGACUCCCUUUCUGUGCUCCGUGCUGAGGGCGGCAUCUGUGUGAACAGAAUCGCCAUGUCUGGUGUCUGGAAAACACAUGGAUUGGGUUUAGAUUUAUAAUGGUCAGAGAUAUAGUGAUGAACUGUGCUUUACAUACUAGCUGGCAGACCAGAUAACGAUCCAUAAAUACAACCCAUUCAAACCGAAGUGCAAUAGAUAGAGCAAAGGGAAAGAUACAGAGUGCAGAAUAAAGUUCUCCACAUUGUAGCGCAUCAAUUCCAGAAUCAAAUCCCAAUGUCCACAAUGGGGUCGAUGUGCACCGGCCUGUGCUCUACUUUACGGAGU